GUCUGAGGGGAAAACCUUUUUAGUGACCCUGAACACUGGCUCACACAGCACUGGGGACCCACCCAUCUCAUCAGACCUCCAAGUCCAUUCUGUUUAACUUCUGAAAUAGGGCUCAAGCGGCCAUCCCCGAUUUGCGGCAUCAGCACCCGGCCCAGCCGCGGUUUAGAGACCGGGUUCACAAUGAUCAAUGGAGCUAUGGAAACAGCAGACAUCGCGCCGGAGCCUGCUGGCCUCCCAUCUGGAGCCUCACAGGCACUGAAGGUUCCCCCAUCCUGCCUUCAUAGCACUAGGGAGUAAGCGGCUCCUGUUUUACCAUGAUGUGGGAUUCUGAAUGGAUGACAGAGGAUAAGAAUCUACAGAGGUGGAUUUCUUGGAAAUGUGCAGAUGGCAUGCUACAGAUGAGACAACAUUCGUAGGCUGCGAGAUACGCGUAUGCACACAGAUAAACCAGACUUUGGAUCUAACCGGUAUGGCAAAAAGCAGAAUAUCACAGACGGAAGCAUGAUUCACAGGAAAAGAUCUGUCCACUCAGAACUCACCCUUGAGAAGAAAAACAGCUUGGGGCCUAGAGAGAGAUAAGCAGUCUUCAUGCCAUAAGCUACUAAUUCUUUGAUAAAAUGAGAGAGACUUCAACGUGAGGAUAACAUAUGCGUAAGAGUCAUUAGUGGCAAAAAUUUCUGAAAUCUCUGAAUGUGCUAAGAGCCGAUCCACGGAAAGAAAUUCUACCUGAAGCAACAAUGCCGUAUUGAGGGCUUCCCAGAGGGGAAGAAUGCUCUGCUCCCCUAUCCCCCAGUGCCCUUGCCUGUACCCCCAACGUUUGACAGUUCCAUGCUACAGCAGGGAGCACCUACAGUGGAGGGGAAGAAUGGGAAUGGAAAUAGAAAGAAGGAAGUAUCCGAAGGGGGAUGGAAACUUAGCCUCUGUGCCUCAACAGACAGAACAUGGUCCAGAGGGACUACAAAUGGGGCUAAUUAGGACUACACGAUACCUAAUUAUAACUCUGCAGCUUGGUAUGGGAAAUGAAAGGAAAAGAAGUAA